AGAGUUUGAUCAUGGCUCAGAACGUACGCUGGCGGCACGCCUAACACAUGCAAGUCGAACGAAGUAGCAAUACUUAGUGGCAGACGGGUGAGUAACAUGUAGGUAUCUGCCCUAUGGCCUGGAAUAACACGAGGAAACUUGUGCUAAUACCGGAUAAGUCUUUACGGAGAAAGCUUUAUGCACCAUUGGAUGAGCCUGCAUUUGAUUAGUUUGUUGGUGGGGUAAUGGCCUACCAAGACUGUGAUCAAUAGCUGAUUUGAGAGGAUGAUCAGCCACAUUGGGACUGAGACACGGCCCAAACUCCUACGGGAGGCAGCAGUGGGGAAUCUUGCACAAUGGAGGAAACUCUGAUGCAGCGAUGCCGCGUGAGUGAAGAAGGCCCUUGGGUUGUAAAGCUCUUUCGUCGGGGAAGAAAAUGACUGUACCCGAAUAAGAAGGUCCGGCUAACUUCGUGCCAGCAGCCGCGGUAAUACGAAGGGACCUAGCGUAGUUCGGAAUUACUGGGCUUAAAGAGUUCGUAGGUGGUUGAAAAAGUUGGUGGUGAAAUCCCAGAGCUUAACUCUGGAACUGCCAUCAAAACUUUUCAGCUAGAGUAUGAUAGAGGAAAGCAGAAUUUCUAGUGUAGAGGUGAAAUUCGUAGAUAUUAGAAAGAAUACCAAUUGCGAAGGCAGCUUUCUGGAUCAUUACUGACACUGAGGAACGAAAGCAUGGGUAGCGAAGAGGAUUAGAUACCCUCGUAGUCCAUGCCGUAAACGAUGUGUGUUAGACGUUGGAAAUUUAUUUUCAGUGUCGCAGCGAAAGCGAUAAACACACCGCCUGGGGAGUACGACCGCAAGGUUAAAACUCAAAUGAAUUGACGGGGACCCGCACAAGUAGUGGAGCAUGUGGUUUAAUUCGAAGAUACGCGCAGAACCUUACCAACACUUGACAUGUUCGUCGCGACUUUAAGAGAUUAAAGUUUUCGGUUCGGCCGGACGAAACGCAGGUGCUGCAUGGCUGUCGUCAGCUCGUGUCGUGAGAUGUUGGGUUAAGUCCCGCAACGAGCGCAACCCUCACUUUUAGUUGCCAUCAUUAAGUUGGGCACUCUGAAAGAACUGCCAGUGAUAAGCUGGAGGAAGGUGGGGAUGACGUCAAGUCCUCAUGGCCCUUACGUGUUGGGCUACACACGUGCUACAAUGGUAUCUACAACAGGAAGCAAGACUGCGAAGUUAAGCAAAUCCUUAAAAGAUACCUCAGUUCGGAUUGCACUCUGCAACUCGAGUGCAUGAAGCUGGAAUUACUAGUAAUCGUGGAUCAGCGUGCCACGGUGAAUGCGUUCCCGGGUCUUGUAGA
rnacentral:rRNA from 1 species